AGUGAUGCGCAGGCGCACGACCUGUAGCACGCAUGCGUCUUGGUCCGCGGCCAAGCGCGAGCCGGCGAGGCGCGCCUACGUCGUCUCUGCCGCCGCGCACACUGCGCUUGGGUAAAGGCGUCUGAGAGCGUAGGGCUCGCGCCGGCGGCGCCUGCGCAGUGUCGAGGUGCGCCUCCGGGGAGGCUGAAGCGGUUCCCUCUCAGGCGGCGCCAUUUUGUGGUAAGAGGGCCGAGAUUCAAAAAAAUAAUAAUAAU
rnacentral:lncRNA from 1 species